UCCCAGCAUGCCCCGCGGCAGGCCGCCCCCACCCUCAGCCCACGGCCGCCCCCGGCGCAGCGGCACGGGCAGCGCCGUCGGGGCGGACGUUGUCAGGCCGCAGUGCCCCGCGGCUCCUCCGCGCCCUGAGGGAGCCGCCCCGCCAUUACCUGGGAGGAGCGGGGAAACUCCAUCAGAGCCUGAACCUCCAGAAUUUGUGAUGGAGUAACAACACAGAAGGAUGUAGUCAACAUCUUUCACACAAGGAUUCUGAUGAACUUUUGCUGUGAACUAUUUCCUGUGGAUAACUUGCAUGAGAAGCAGAGUCCCCCAGCAUGCCUGAUUCAUGUGUACUGCCCACAGCUGUUACGCUGUGUAACCAGGAACCAGCUCCAGACCCUGGUGUGCAUUGGGAUGGCUUGAACGCAGCAAUUCUAGGAGGGUUAAAAAUUAAACCAGCAAUCAAGAUCUAAAGCAGCACUGGGUUUAAAAGACUGGCAAGGUUCAGCUGUGAGUUAAUUCAUUAGUUGCAGUUAAUAUUGCUAGAAGAGCUUGACAAAAGGAAACAUGAAGCAACUGAAAAGAAACACCAUUAAGGUGAAUGUCAGAGUGUUUGCAUCCAACAAAGAAAAAAAGCUAAAUACAGAAGAGAAAGCACUGGUUCCCAUUGAGUGGUUACAGAAGAAACAAUCAUACUACUACAGAGACCUGACUAGAGAAUGAAUCUCACGACUGGCCAAUAUCUCCUCCAGAACAGGUCUCCUGCCUUGUAAUAUUUCAAAUCCUUGUCUGCUUGCUGCUGCAGAUGGAGUAUUGGUUAUCCUCCAUCAUCGGUCUGGCUGCGAGGACUUCCUGUGCUUGACAAGUUGAUUACUUCGUCAAGGUGAAUGUUCAGCUGAGUCUGUCUGGAGGACCUCUGUGUGUCUGAUGCCAGCUGGUUUCUCACCAGACACACUGUUUCACCAGGCACAGAAUAAUAUGAGGAGAAAAACUGGGAUUUUGAGGGGCUUUUUUCCCCACUCCCUUUCUGAGGUUGAUGUUACUCCAGUUUAUCCCAAUAAAGUGUAGAUGGCUAACUCUCUAAAUGCAGCCAUCUUCUAUAUGGAGAGCAAACUCAUCUGAUGAAAUGCCGUUGUCCUUUAUAUAUGGUUUUCCCUGUCUUUAGGAACCCCAAAAGAGGUUAGAUAGCUUGGAAGCUGUGGCAUUAACAGUGCUUUCUGAUUGUCCAUUGUGUAUCAUCAAGGAAGCACAGUAAAACCCAACAGUUAAAUGAAUUUCAUUGCAGUUCCUGAGGGAGAGCAGGAUGCUUUACUUGUGAGUUGCAAGUCGGGUCAGGAGGGGUGGAUCUCCACGGAGAAAUUGCUGACACAGGCCCAGAAAUGUCAUUAGUAAGGUAAGGAAAAGCAUCCAAACUUCUCUUAAUAGUCCUUUGUGGAUACUUUAUAGGAAGUGGCAUCUAGACAACAGUGGGUAUUAAGGAAUUGGGAAAUAACAGUAAACAGCACAAAGUAAACAGCACAGAGAAAACUCUGUGUGCUUUCUGAGAAGGUAAGGAAACUGUGUCACAAUGCUGAAUGCUUCAGGAGAGAAAAUUCUCAUAACUUCCAUAGCCAAACAUCACUUGGGACCAGAGUGUGAAUGACUACUCUGUGCUACUGCUGAAAGAGUGUUGCAACUUCUUGGCAGGUUACAGAAAAUAGAAGGUUGGCCAGCAUCAUUAUCUGGUGGUACAGGAACAUUUGUUUCUCUAGCCACAUGUGGCUGUGUCUGACCAUCUUGGGUAUCCAAGCAGGGAGUUCAAAGGAAAACUCUGCAGGCUUGGUUUUCAAAGGGACCUAUUUCCACUAAGUGUGAACUUUGUUUCUAAAAGGAGAAAAAUCCUUGUUUACUCUUCUAAGAAUUCAUAUUUCUGGCAUAUUGUAGCAGAAAUAAUAACCAAAAGCAUAGUACAGUCGUGAGGUGAAUCCAGGGAGCAUGGCAACUACUGCCAGACUAUCAUUUGCAGCCAAACCAGCCCCUGGUGCAUCAUGAGCACCGUAUCUGGCAGACGUGGUCCUGGGGUUGCUGUCCUCAACAGAUCCCAUAUUGAACACCUCAGUGAGCAGAAGAAUCAUAGAAUCACAGAAUAUCCUGAAUUGAAAGGGGCCCACAAGGACCAUCAGCUUAACUCCUGGCUCCACAAGGAAGGCACAAAAUUCAAAUUCUAUGUUUGCAACUGUUGUCCAAACACUCCUCAAAAUCCAGCAGCUAAGGCCAUGCCCACUGUCCUGAGGAGCCUCUUCCUCUACCCACCACCCUCCCGUAAAGAACCUUUUCCUAAAACCAAGACUGACCCUCCUCUGGUGCAGCUCCAUGCUGCUAAAGAUGGAGCUUUUCCUGUGUCCCACCAUACCUGACAAGGCAAGGAUGUGUUGCAGUCCCUCUAUAUUGAGCUAUUUCAGACCAGCUUUGUACGAGAGUGGAAGAAGUGCAAUAUGUACUCACUUUUCUCCCCUUGGAAAGGUAGAGGCAGGGGAGCAGGCUGCCAGACCUCCAAGAGGAGCAGGGGUCUCCAUCAGGGCAUUUCCUAGCAGGAGGCAAGGAGAUCAUGCAUUCUCCUGUCAUUUAUUCCCUGAUGAGUAUUUUCUUUGCUUCCUCCAGGCCCGUGGCCAGGAGGGCCAGCACUGGGAACACGUCCUGGUGCACAGCCAGGGCGCAGCAGUGUCCUGCUGAAAGCAGUGGCCCAGGGCCGGGUACACAGCAUCCAGCCCUCCCCUAGAGACUGUUGUUUGCUGAGGGAUGCAAGGUAACCUCAGCAUUGAAGAUAGCUGGGACGGUGGCCAGCGAAGAUUAAUGGUAUCAUUAAUAUCCCCAGUUUAUUUAUAGAUUUAAAAAAGUCUCCAACCUGUAAACAAAGCAGUUAUGCUGCGUAAUGCAGAGAAUCACAGGUUUACUUCCUUCCCACUCCUCUUAUUUCAUCCUGGUUGUUGAGAGUGUAAAACCUCCUGGAGUAGGACUGGCUCAUUGCAAACUUACAUUAUAAACCUUCUCAAUUAGGGGGAUACGCACUGUUGAUUUAUUUUUCCAUGAAUGUUAUAUUUGUCCGGUCUCCUUUCUCCACUCAGCUCCUUCUGUGCUUUGUCCUGUGGCCCCUGUUAUGGAAAAUUCUCUUUUUGAGGAAUUCCUGACACCCAGGUUGGGCAGUAAUCAUAGGAAUUACUGAUUUUCUGCCUUGGGCUUCAAGCUGUAAGCUGUAAGUGUGAGGUGGAUUGAGCAUCUUGUAGCUGUGGAGAGCACCUAGGCGGUGCAUGGCCCCAGUGAAGCGUGCAGAUGUUAUUAAUGACCCUGGGGUCUUCCUACGGGCACUCAGGGCCACUCAGCUCCCAAGUUCUCGAGGAACUUGAAGGACUGUCAAGAAAAGAAAAAGCAUGUUGGCUCCAGGACAGGAUUUUUCAGCACGUGAGCUGCAGCCACACCACCUGGCCCAUCUCCAGGAGCUCUGGAGAAGGUAAGGUAGGAAGGAGGCCUGUUGGCAGCAGGCAGCAAGAAUCUGCUGCAGAGGUGUAUAGGUGGAGAAGAAAAGAAAAAUGUGAGGACCCCUCCAGACACACAGUGCAAUGAUGUGUUUUGGAGGGCAACCACCAUUCAUUUUACUGUUUGUGAUGUGUUAAUCUGGGUUGUACUCCCAUUGCUCUCUUUCCUUGGCCUUCUGUCUUCUAGGGGGUAAAAUAAAGAAUUGGCAGAGAACUGCUCAAAUUGCUGUUGUCUUCUUUUCUGUGGGAAAUUAGAGUGCUUCAGGGCAGAGGAAGUGAGUCUGAAGUACUAGAAGUGACUGAAGGAGGGUUUCUCUGCCAUGGACAACACAGAUGAAAUCAUGACCCUGGAAUCCCCUCACUGCCCAAACCCUGGUGGGUUUGAGGCAUCUCACUGCCUCAUGUUCUCCUUCUCCUAUUUCUCACUUGGGCUGUG